rnacentral:lncRNA from 1 species
GAUAUUUGAGUACGUGUCCUUCAUGGAUAUGGACAUUGGUAGGGCUAGUGCUGCCAGACACAAGGAUAAACUUGAGCAUUUGAAUGCGAAGUUGGAGCAAGCACUGACGCUUCUGUCGCUCGAUCUUUCUGCCGAUUUAAAAGCGACGUUGAAGGUUAUCCACUCCGAGGUCCUUUCUUUGCUGGCCAAAAAUGCUGAACUAAAGGCCAAAAGUACUCAAUAUCUUCGAGCCGUAUCUGAGAAAGAGUCUUUGCGUAUGGAGAUCAACAAGGCUAAGGACGAGUUGAAAGAAAUCUCUUCCGAAGUCAUGAUUGAAGACUCUUUGAUGGUUAAUUUGGCUGC